GUCAAGGGGGGUGUCACAUGACAUGCUACUUGCUUGAUAUUGAUAGCACAUAAGUAUUUCAUCAUGCAUAAUGUCAUCAUUAUAAAUGGCUGUCCUAUGGAAGUGUAGAUCGGGUUUUGGAAAUGAUUUUGUACUAAGUGAAAAAAUUAUAUCCAUUACUUUAAUGAUAGAUGUGGUCAUGCUGUUAAUUAUGAGGUGACAGGAGACAGUGCUACUGGUAGUCUUCCUGAUUGUCCAUUAAAUGAAGAGAAGUGUCCAGUUUCACAAUACAAAGGAAUUGAGGUGGCACAUGCAUUCUUCCUUGGUACUACUUAUUCAAAAAAAUUUACAGCACUUUAUGACAAACAAAAGUUAUGUGAAAUGGGUUGUUAUGGUAUUGGUGUAUCAAGACUAAUGCAGACAAUAAUAGAGCACAGUCUAGCUGUAAACAAUGGGAAAAUGAUAUGGCCAGUAUCCAUUGCACCUAUGAGUGUGUGCAUCACUCCUUUAGGCAACAAAAAGGAUACACAGUUGAUGUCUAAAGCAAUGGAUUUAUAUGAUAAGCUUGAUUCAAGGUAUCCUGGUGAGAUAGUCCUUGAUGAUAGGUCCCAGUUGAGUAUUGGAGAGAGAGUGAGACACAUUGAGCUAUUGGGGUAUCCCAUAGCUGUAGUCAUUGGAUUAAAG